rnacentral:rRNA from 1 species
UACGUAGGGGGCGAGCGUUGUCCGGAGUUACUGGGCGUAAAGGGCAUGCAGGCGGUCCGACACGUUUUGUGUGACAGCGGGUGGCUUAACUACCCGAGGAUACGAAAGACGGUUGGACUUGAGGACUCGAGAGGGACACGGAAUUCCGGGUGGAGUGGUGAAAUGCGUAGAGAUCCGGAGGAACACCGAAGGCGAAGGCAGUGUCCUGGCGAGUGACUGACGCUGAGGUGCGAAAGCCAGGGGAGCGAGCGGG